rnacentral:rRNA from 1 species
UCGGGAAUUUUGGGCAAUGGGCGAAAGCCUGACCCAGCAACGCCGCGUGAAGGAUGAAGUAUUUCGGUAUGUAAACUUCGAAAGAAUAGGAAGAAUAAAUGACGGUACUAUUUAUAAGGUCCGGCUAACUACGUGCCAGCAGCCGCGGUAAUACGUAGGGACCAAGCGUUGCUCGGAUUUACUGGGCGUAAAGGGCGCGUAGGCGGCAAUUCAAGUCAUCUGUGAAAUCUCCGGGCUUAACUCGGAACGGUCAGAUGAUACUGCUUUGCUAGAGUGCAGAAGGGGCAAUCGGAAUUCUUGGUGUAGCGGUGAAAUGCGUAGAUAUCAAGAGGAACACCUGAGGUGAAGACGGGUUGCUGGGCUGACACUGACGCUGAGGCGCGAAAGCCAGGGGAGCAAACGGGAUUAGAUACCCAGGUAGUCCCUGAGCGGGCUGGCAAGGCGCAU